CGUGGGUGGAGAAACGUCGAAUUGCAAUGGGUUUUGUGGUUGAUUCUGUUUCUCUUUAGACUUUAGGCGAUAUAUUUACAAAGACAAUCCGUCUUUUCCAAUGAUAUGGAAAACAUCUUUUCUCUGUUACGUCAUCAGUUAUAGUUGCCUUAUUUGUGAUGAUUAGAAAAUUGCGAUUAAGAGAAUGAUACAUUGGCUAAUAAUUAGAGAAAUUAAUAUAUCACACUCAUACAAUAUAGUAAAUUACAUUCAGUUUAUAUAAAUAUUAAACACUCAUUCGAUAUAUGAAUUACA
rnacentral:lncRNA from 1 species